rnacentral:lncRNA from 10 species
CAAACCUCCAUGAUACAUGUUUAUUUAUGUAACAAACCCUAUCCCUGAACUGAAAAUAACAGUUAAAAAAAAAAAAAAAAAGAAUGUCCUUGGGUCACUCUGGUAAGCAAUGGUGCCUUCCGUGCUGAGCCCAAGCUACGUGGCCUCCCAUUGGUGACCCAGGCUCUCUGGGGCCUUUCCUACCACUGCCCCUUGUCUUUCCUGAACUCUUAUCCUGAUGUGAUGAUGACAUUGCCUCUGGGUCUGAGCUCCGUCCUGACGUGAUGAUGUCAUUGCCUCUGGGUCUGAGCUCUAUCCUGACAUGAUGAUGUCAUUGCCUCUGGGUCUGAGCCUUACUUCAGCAGUUCCUUCUCUAACCCUGUAAUGGCUUCUCUUUGCCUAGACUUUAAAUGCCCCUCUUCAGAAAGGAUCAAUCUAUCAUGUUCUUUGCUUCAACCUCUAUAAUUGCCCCUGGAUGACUCAUCUUGGGAUGAAUAAUAUUAUUAAAUUUUUAGCUCAGGCCUCCCUCCUGAGUCCCGCUCUGUGCAGCAGUCACUGCGUAUUUGCGCAUUCAUCAUUGUCAUCAUCACCACUGACGUCAGCACCAUCACUGACACUUUACACGGCUUAAAGCAUUUUAAGUUUUAAACUCAUGUGUGGCCAUUACCUCAUUGUAUCCACCUAAAACUUCCAUGAGUUAGAUACUCUUUCCACUUGACUUUUCCAAUCAGCAAAUGUUUAUUUAGGGUGCUCUGUGAUGGGGAUGGAAAAUAUUAAAUGACUAUCCUGGGACACAGGGGAUUCAAUCUAGUUGAGAAGACAAACACACUUGCAGAUAAUUUUAAUAGAGUGAAAUAUGUAGAAAGAGAUUUCCAAAAUGUUAGAACGUGGGUCCAGUGCAACUUGGUAGCAGGAUACAAGGUGAGCCCUUCUGGGGACAAGCCUUAAAGCAAUCAGGCAUUACCCACGUGUGUAAACGGAGAAAGAAGUCAUUCCACACAGAUGCCAGCUCAGCGGCUUGGGGUGAGAAAUGCCAAGUCGGGGCAUUCUAGGUCGUCUGAAGUUCACAGAACAUAAAGUUCAAGGCAUGGACGGCCAUUUGUGGGGCUGGACAGAGGAGCAUGGGGUAUGUCAGGAAAGUUCGUGCUGCUAGGCAGAGGAACUGCAGCUUGUUGGCAGGUGAAGGGAGCCUGUUUAGCUGUGUCCAGCAACAACUUACGUGGUCCUGCUUGUGUUCCAGGUGAAGCGUCUGGCCGCCGAGCAGAGGAAUCAAGACCUGCUCAUUCUUUCCUCGGGGGAUCCAUCCAGCAAUGACAUCAUCUCAUGCUGCCACAAGGACCCCAAGUCUGGGCUGCUGGGGACCAGCCACGCUCCCCACUGCUCAUUCCUUCAUCCUAGAGACAUUCUGACUCUCCUCCGACUGCGCUGUGCACAGGUGUGACAAGCUCUUUUACAUCUCAGUCUGCACAACUUCAGGCACUUAGCAGAUUGAUAUGCAUCCAACAAAUAUUGAUUGAAUAUCUGCUAAAUACCCAGUAAUGUUUCAUGAGUGAUUGGGUGAAUAAAGGAAUGCUGGUUCCUUCUGGCCAUAUUAACUCCUGCACAAUACUAAGAAAAAUAAAUUGCACUAGCUGUGGAAUAAUGUGAAUCCCAAUGUCAUCUAUUGAAAUAUUACCUGACUAUUAAGAGCAUAUCCUAUUGCACUGUGCUCACCCUUCUUCGUGGGGUGACAUAAGGGGUUGUGAUGCCCACGUGACGAGGUUCAGUGCGGUGAGUAUUGCUGGCACUGUGACCUGGCUUGGCUGCAGCUGUCUCCCAAGGAGGCACAGAAGGAGGGUCCCUGCUUCCAUCAUACAGCCCUGGCGGUGCUGGUGGCUGACGUCAGGAGCAGGCGACGUGGAUACCAGGUAGGAGCACAGACCGUGGGUCUGCUGGAGAUGGGAGAUCACGACCCGGGCAGAAUGGAGCGAGAUUUCAUCAUGCUACUCAGAACAGCACACAACUUAAAACUCGUGAAUUGUUUAUUUCUGGAAUUUUUUAUUUAAUAUUUUCCAACUGAACACAGAAGGGGAAACUGGAUAAGAGGGGACGACUAUAACUGCAAAGCCACCGUACACACUCAGCUGCAGCUCCUCAGCACCCGGGGGGCCACUGAGCUACAUGGUAACCACCACGCAGCAGCCUCUUUAAUUUGCACAGGCAUGUGUGUGCACACACACAUGCACACACAGAUGCGCAUACACACACGUGCACACACGGAUCCACACGUGCCCACGCACACACACAGACACAUACACACACAUGCGCACACACACAUUGUCUUUUCUUUGACAAAUUGGUCAGUGUGAACUUGUGGACACUUAGCUGCACCAACCUGGAGUUACCCGUGAACCUGCAGAUGCUGAUGUCACCCGUUGGGGAAAAACAUUUGGAAUGGUCUGAAUGUGGCAGGCCCUGCUGUGUUGGAGACAGAAGCCUUUCCACAAGGACCUUUCAUGGACCGUUCCUUUAAAGUCACUUAGUCCUCACAACCACUUCAUGCUGAACAACCUUCCCAAUCUAACAGGGAGGAAACCCAGGCCAAAUGUGUUUCCGUGAUGUGUGCAUAGAUCCCCAGGGAGCAGUCACAAUACGGGGUUCGGCCUCAUCUGAUUCCAGGGCUCACACUCUGUCCAGCACCCACGGUUUCUGCCCUUGAGGAGUUUCUUGUCUGAAAUAAAUAUUACAUUAUGGACUGGAAAGCCACGUGACAGCAUUAAAUAAGAAAACUAUGGGAGUCCUGAACCUCAGAAAAGGAUUUUCAUCGCAAAGAUAAUUUAAGUUGAAUUGCGAGAGCAUUGGAAUGCACAGCUGAUGGGUGUGAUGAGGUCAGUGUGUGCAAAGUGGAGAAAGCGCUCGAGAUGGGAAGGAAAGGAGGUCAGAGACCUCACAAAUCGCGUCCCACCUAAGGGAAGGGGAUGCAUUCGCUGAGGCACGACUUGAAAGGCAGGUAGAACCACGUGACCUCACACUUGCAAUCCACCAAACCUGACAUGCGCCCUCCCUCUCUGCUGGACUCUGCCUGCCGCACUCUGCGUCCUCUUGCCGGCUUCCUCUCUCCCUCUCUAGAAACUAAGUGGUAUGAGCACAGGCAUCCUGAGGCCUGGCUCCUAGGAAUACUCGGACACAGCGACACUUGCCCAAUCUUUGGUGAAUCAAUGGAUUUAAACUGCAGCAAAUCCGGGGGAGGUCAGAGGAAUUUUUUAAAGCAGGAGCAAAAUAUGAAAACAUAUGUUUUGCCUCAGUGAGGAGGGUGCCCGGAGCAGGGAGAGCCGCAGAGAGCAAGGGCAUGUGAACAGCAUGAGGGUCCUGGCUGAGGGACUCCAAGCUCAGUCCAGAGCCGCCCUCCCCCCGUUCCUAGCCUGCCCUCGGCACACAAGAGAGGCCUGAGGACUGCAGGUGUGUUUGCUACACCAUUUUCCUGAGCUUGGAACCCUGGGGGAUAAUGAGAGAACUGAGACAGUGGAUAUUAUUCUGUUUCCCUGUUCAGGCCAUUUCUGGG